rnacentral:rRNA from 1 species
CUACGGAGGGUGCGAGCGUUAAUCGGAGUUACUGGGCGUAAAGCGCGCGUAGGCGGUUGGGUAAGUCGGAUGUGAAAGCCCCGAGCUUAACCUGGGAAUUGCAUUCGAUACUGCCCGGCUAGAGUAUGGUAGAGGGAAGCGGAAUUCCGGGUGUAGCGGUGAAAUGCGUAGAUAUCCGGAGGAACACCAGUGGCGAAGGCGGCUUCCUGGACCAAUACUGACGCUGAGGUGCGAAAGCGUGGGGAGCAAACAGGAUUAGAAACCCUAGUAGUCC